UUUUACACGGUUGCGUGAGGGAUGGAAGCGGCAUACUUUUUUGCCGUUGUAAUGGCAAACUUUUAGAGUAUUGCAUCCUGGCAAAAAAGAUACAGCGUACAGCCCGACCCGAA
rnacentral:sRNA from 1 species